rnacentral:misc_RNA from 1 species
GUAAUUGAACACUACAUGCCUGAACUGGAAGCUUAUAUGCCAAGAGAUGCUGAACCAAUUGAUUUAAAUGUGCUACGAGAAAUCAAUGAUCGAUUGACAGCUAUGCUAGAAGAUGUGAGAUUGAUGAAGAAACGACUCACACGUAUCAUGAUUUUACAGUUGCUAUGCCUCUUUGUUGCAUUUUCAGGUCUCUUUGUGAAGUUGAUUCGUAAGUAAGUACUGUUACUUUUGUGAGCCAUUUAACCUUCUAUCAGUGCUGCUCAGAAAU